rnacentral:misc_RNA from 1 species
CGUGCUCUGCUCUGCCGCUCGCUUCCUUUCUCGAAAUAGGAUUGUGGAGUGGGCGUCACAGGAAGCAAAUACUUGCCAGAAGCCGCGAUCCUUACAGGGCAAAGCAGACAAUGAGGGCCGGGGGAGGUACGACACAGCGACGACGACGACCCCACGCCCCUCCCCAUCCUCCUCCUUUCGUUCGCUCACGUGCCGCAGGGGAUCAGAAGAAGUCGUGGCGAAGAAGCCCUACGAGAGAAACGAGUGAACACCAGAAGGUCGACGCGGUCGUGGUCGUAUCAUAGCACAGCUGCGCACGGUGCACAUCCUCUUCGUGAGAUUGUCGCGUUUGCCUGCGGAGGCCCUACUGUCCUCCGCACCCUUCACACACACGUGCUUGACGCUCUUCUCUGUUUAUCGUUCCGGUUGUACUUCUGAUGUACAGCUCUGCGCUUCUCAUCUGUUCCGCUGGCUUGCGCAUGCACGGAAAGGCAGACGUGCGACUGGCGAACGCCGAUGCACGAGAUUUCUGCGUAAAGGGUAACGAGACGUGUACGCCUUCUUAGAGCGAAAGGAAAACAUAGAGUGAGAAGAGACGCACGUCUACACGUGUAGGUGGGAAUGCUCUCCCCCCCCCGCACUCGCUGUUUUUUUUUUUCGCCGAUACCACAAAGACACACAGACACGCAAUUCCUUUAAACUUGCGUGAUGCCGAUUCGGGGGUCCAUCAGCCGCGUCAGCUUGCCUCGCUGCUCAUCGCUCUCACUCUAUCUCGCGUUCGACCUUGCUCCGCUGCGGUCGUGUGCACUGGCAGCGCGGCUGCAGCUCCAUACUGCGUUACGCAUAGGGCGACGCCGCCUUUAGCCAAACGUUCGGCUCCACCUUUCUCGCCUUCUCUUUCU